rnacentral:tRNA from 1 species
GGGAGUAGAUGAGUGCUGGUGUGCUCUCUGGUCUUCAAAACCAGUACGGGGCGUUAGGAGCGUCCUGGGUGGGUUCGAUUCCCACAUAUUCCCGCCA